UCAACCCAAUGUGAACCAUACCAAACUGUUGCCUCGGCGGGGUCACGCCCCGGGUGCGUCGCAGCCCCGGAACCAGGCGCCCGCCGGAGGGACCAACCAAACUCUUUUCUGUAGUCCCCUCGCGGACGUUAUUUCUUACAGCUCUGAGCAAAAAUUCAAAAUGAAUCAAAACUUUCAACAACGGAUCUCUUGGUUCUGGCAUCGAUGAAGAACGCAGCGAAAUGCGAUAAGUAAUGUGAAUUGCAGAAUUCAGUGAAUCAUCGAAUCUUUGAACGCACAUUGCGCCCGCCAGUAUUCUGGCGGGCAUGCCUGUCCGAGCGUCAUUUCAACCCUCGAACCCCUCCGGGGGGUCGGCGUUGGGGAUCGGGAACCCCUAAGACGGGAUCCCGGCCCCGAAAUACAGUGGCGGUCUCGCCGCAGCCUCUCCUGCGCAGUAGUUUGCACAACUCGCACCGGGAGCGCGGCGCGUCCACGUCCGUAAAACACCCAACUUCUGAAAUGUUGACCUCGGAUCAGGUAGGAAUACCCGCUGAACUUAAGCAUAUCAAUAAGCGGAGGA
rnacentral:rRNA from 1 species